UGAGGAAUAUUGGGCAAUGCCCGCAAGGGUGACCCAGCAACGCCGCGUGGAGGAUGAAUGUCGUAAGAUUGUAAACUCCUGUUAGAGGGGAAGAAUAGUACCGGUUGGACCGGUAUAUGACUGUACCCUCAGAGAAAGCCCCGGCUAACUACGUGCCAGCAGCCGCGGUAAUACGUAGGGGGCAAGCGUUGUCCGGAUUUACUGGGUGUAAAGGGCGCGCAGGCGGGAUAAAAAGUCAGUGGUGAAAUCCUACAGCUUAACUGUAGAACUGCCUUUGAUACUUUUAUUCUUGAGUUCGGGAGAGAGAGACGGAAUUCCAGGAUUAGUGGUGAAAUACGUAGAUAUCUGGAAGAACACCAGUUGCGAAGGCGGUCUCUUGGUCCGACACUGACGCU
rnacentral:rRNA from 1 species